GUAAUUUCUGUUUCAUAAUUAGGGCUUUUUGUUUGAUCUAAUCGGUUACUGAAUUAUGGUUUUGUUUGUAAGGAGAAUCCGAUUGCAAGCUCACCGGCGAAGGAACCAUACAGGAAUCGGCUGGCGGACAGCCUCAACAUGGGAGUUAUGGAUUGGUUUGAUCCAAUUGCUGAUUCGACUACUAGCCAUCUCGAUCUGAUUCCCCACAUGGUUUAGGGGAGAAGUUUAAAACAACAGGACUAUGGAAGGAUAUACGGUGCUACAUUGACAGUCAAGUAAGA